CCUACGGGAGGCUGCAGUGGGGAAUAUUGGACAAUGGGCGAAAGCCUGACCCAGCCAUGCCGCGUGUGUGAAGAAGGCCUUCGGGUUGUAAAGCACUUUCAGUGGGGAAGAAAGCCUUGGGGCUAAUACCCUCGAGGAAGGACAUCACCCACAGAAGAAGCACCGGCUAACUCCGUGCCAGCAGCCGCGGUAAUACGGAGGGUGCGAGCGUUAAUCGGAAUUACUGGGCGUAAAGCGCGCGUAGGCGGUCUGAUAAGCCGGUUGUGAAAGCCCCGGGCUCAACCUGGGAACGGCAUCCGGAACUGUCAGGCUAGAGUGCAGGAGAGGAAGGUAGAAUUCCCGGUGUAGCGGUGAAAUGCGUAGAGAUCGGGAGGAAUACCAGUGGCGAAGGCGGCCUUCUGGACUGACACUGACGCUGAGGUGCGAAAGCGUGGGUAGCAAACAGGAUUAGAUACCCCUGUAGUC
rnacentral:rRNA from 1 species